AGUUUUUGGCAGUGGCAGUAUCGCAGCCAAUGAGGUUUAUCUGAGGGGCAAUUAUUGCUCUUUGAAAAUUGAGGAAGAAAAAA
ensembl:snRNA U4 U4 spliceosomal RNA